CCAUUAUGCUGGGGUGACUGAGAAGAUAACACCCCCACAGAGGAGCUGGAAAAGUAAGGACUGGAAAGGAAGGCCAAGACUCUCAAAUUCAGAGUACAUCCAGGGAAACAAAAGCUUAUAGAAUGACAACACAUUGCAAGAAAAAAAAAGAAUAAAAAAAAUGCAUCCAGACUGCGCCCUAAAGGAGGAGAAAAUAGAAGCCUAGUUUUAAACAUGUGAGUUUGUGGCUAGAUAGCUAAAAAGAUUGCAAAGAGAUUUAUGUGUGAUUUAUUCUCCUUUA
rnacentral:lncRNA from 1 species